AUCCAACUGACGAGUGCAAAAUAAGACGAAACGCGCAUCCUGGAC
rfam:Schistosoma haematobium scaffold16_9, whole genome shotgun sequence.